CUCUUGAGGCAAGCCAGAAGCGGUAUUGGUCAAGGCUAUACCGACAGCGCACCUUCAAAAGGGCGCUUAAUCCCCGGCCAAGCGCCGAAAUAUGAAUAGACACCGCUGGGCUGGUAGGGCUUCCGAACGUCCUGCGGUGUC
rnacentral:ncRNA from 1 species